rnacentral:rRNA from 1 species
UACGAAGGGGGCUAGCGUUGUUCGGAAUUACUGGGCGUAAAGCGUGCGCAGGCGGCUUCUCAAGUCAGGGGUGAAAGCCCAGAGCUUAAUUCUGGAAUUGCCUUUGAGACUGAGAGGCUUGAGUACGGGAGAGGUGAGUGGAAUUCCCAGUGUAGAGGUGAAAUUCGUAGAUAUUGGGAAGAACACCGGUGGCGAAGGCGGCUCACUGGCCCGUAACUGACGCUCAUGCACGACAGCGUGGGGAUCAAACAGG